CCAAAGAAAAAGUAAAAUAUGGUACGAUUAGAGACAGAGAAAGAAAAGACAAUGCACCAAUUGAUUCGUACCAAACAUAACCUAAUUGUGCUCAUUUUCACGUCUACCAACAAACGAUAAAAUAUUUUACUCGUGCUGCGAAACCAGGCAGUAAACACCGGAUAAGUAGGUGCUGCAAUCUCUAUAUUAUAUUGAGCUAGCAAGUCACCCAAGCAAACAUAACCCAAGCAUUUUACUCGCUAAAAGUUCGCGCCAGACAAGAUCUGCCGUCAGGAUGUUGGUGGCUUAAAUUUUCCGUGUCCUCACAGUUGUGUUGGCCGGAUGUUUGCCUUGCCGUUCGUUGACCGCCUUCAUGUUCACUGCAGUCCGGGCUCUUGGCGCGUUUGCACCUGGUGGGACAAUGGCAUGCUGUUUGAUACUUUUUUAUCCUUGUUAUUCCUCUUCUUUCUUUUCUUUUUUUUUUAAUCUUUGUAAAUGUAUCCUAUGACAUGCUUAAAAUCUAUAGAGAAACCAAGGCAUUCAUUUAAUGAUAGUCAGACACACACUGGGCACCCAUUGUGUUUCUUUAUUAUUCUAUGAAAACUCACCAUCCAGAAAAUCUUAACACCGUAA